GUGGGGAUAUUGCACAAUGGGCGCAAGCCUGAUGCAGCCAUGCCGCGUGUGUGAAGAAGGCCUUCGGGUUGUAAAGCACUUUCAGUCAGGAGGAAAGGUUAGUAGUUAAUACCUGCUAGCUGUGACGUUACUGACAGAAGAAGCACCGGCUAACUCCGUGCCAGCAGCCGCGGUAAUACGGAGGGUGCGAGCGUUAAUCGGAAUUACUGGGCGUAAAGCGUACGCAGGCGGUUUGUUAAGCGAGAUGUGAAAGCCCCGGGCUCAACCUGGGAACUGCAUUUCGAACUGGCAAACUAGAGUGUGAUAGAGGGUGGUAGAAUUUCAGGUGUAGCGGUGAAAUGCGUAGAGAUCUGAAGGAAUACCGAUGGCGAAGGCAGCCACCUGGGUCAACACUGACGCUCAUGUACGAAAGCGUGGGGAGCAAACGGGAUUAGAUACCCCGGUAGUCCACGCCGUAAACGAUGUCUACUAGAAGCUCGGAGCCUCGGUUCUGUUUUUCAAAGCUAACGCAUUAAGUAGACCGCCUGGGGAGUACGGCCGCAAGGUUAAAACUCAAAUGAAUUGACGGGGGCCCCGCACAAGAAAUGCUG
rnacentral:rRNA from 1 species